rnacentral:tRNA from 1 species
GCGGGCGUGCCGGAGUGGAAAACGGGCAGGACUUAAGAUCCUGUGGCUUAGUGCCUACGAGGGUUCGAACCCCUUCGCCCGCA